UUUUUCUUGGAAUUUCGGUAUCAAGUUGGUGCCUCAUCAGCUAACAGUAAUCCUGGGGCUGGUGAGCACAAGGACCAUUUUCUGGGAAAUAUAUCCUGAAAAACUGGUCGCUACAAGGUUGUCAGGACCGGUUUUCCAAUAAAACAUUUAUUGAAAAACUGACCAUUAUAUCAGACCAGUAUAGAAGAAUCCUCCUUACUGGUAGACAAAUCCUUGAUACAGAAAUCUAGAAGUACUAAAUAUUAUACAAGGUUGAGCUGAGGCUACUCAACAAUUUAUUACAAGCACGCCGAUAUUAUACAUAAAGGCGGAUAUGACACAAAGGGUGUGGUGGCAUAACUACUGACUCAUAAUAAAAGUGGUGGUGGAUAUGUCACAGUGAAGUGGGUGACAUGACUCCAAAAUCUUAUAGUUCAUCAAGCGCCGGAGUGAGGCUCGGUGAUUUUAUUAGGGUAGCGGAAGCGUAUAUAAUACAAGUGACCAACUCCAGGAUCCCACGGGACUAACUGGGACUCCUCUAGGCGUAGAACUCGCUAUCAUACUCUUCAUCCACAAGAUCGCCUUCGUCAACAUCUGGCCAAAUCAACAAGCUAGGUGAGUACUUUGAAUGUACUCACAAGACAGUUUGGACAUAAGAUAUAACGAAUGCAAACAUGAUGCACAUGAGCAGACUAGUAAUGCGCACUCAGAUAAUAAAUUUGCACUGCAUGUUAAAUAAAAAGGAAGUCGGGCGGUAGUCCUCCCGAAAUCCCAAUAAAAUAGUUGAAGAGCGAUCGGGUGUCUGAAGCGACGCCUCGAAAGGAAAAAUAACUUAACAUGCCGCAGUCGGGCGUCAGGGCGACACCACAUAAAGGGCUUAUAUUGAAACGUAAAUGACUGUACGUGCCACAGUCGGACGUCUAAGCGACAUCUCAAAAAGGGCUUAUAAUGAAAGUAAAUAACAAGGAUGCCGUAGUCGGACGUCUGAGCGACAUCACAUAAAGGGCUUAUAUCAAAAGUAAAUAACAAGAAUGCCACAGUCGGACGUCUAAGCGACAUCACAUAAAGGGCUUAUAUCAAAGUAAAUAACAAGAAUGCCAUAGUUGGACGUCUAAGCGACAUCACAUAAAGGGCUUAUAUCAAAGUAAAUAACAAGAAUGCCAUAGUCGGACGUCUAAGUGACAUCACAUAAAGGGCUUAUAUCAAAGUAAAUAACAAGAAUGCCACAGUCGGACGUCUGAGCGACAUCACAUAAAGGGCUUAUAUCUCAUCAUUCGAAUUCAAGUAGCUCAUGAAGGUAACAUCAUUCCACGGAAUACUCGGUACAUGAUAAUAAACUGGUUAGUCCAUCCACAGGAAUAACAUUCAGACAGGUUUACCACUCUCAGUUUCAUGCUUAUUCUCUGGAGGCUGUCACUGAGACUGACACUGGGACUAAUACUUAGAUUGACACUAAUAUGUUGAUCAAAGUCCUUCACCAUGGACAUGGUUACUCGAAUGGUUUUGACUCUGCAGAGUUUGUACUCUUUAACCACAGCCAACGGUUUUCAGUAGUCACAAAGGACUAGUUCCGUUUACGGUAUUUUAGGAGAAACACAUCUAACCAGUACACACCCAUUCCACAUUCCGCUGCCAGGAAUCACCCUAGGCAACGUUCAAGAAAAACUCUAAGACGGGGAGGCUACAACCUCGAAUAGCAUGGGAUCAAAUUUAUAUCGUGCUCUCUAAGGGGUGCCCCCUCUCGGUCCCAACCGGAAACACCCAUGCCCCCUGAACGGAUGACGGGCUUUAAUCCAGGGCCAUGGAACCCUCAUCACGGCCCCUCUAUUUUGUGUGUACAAGGAAAGAGGUUUGCAACUUACUAAACCGUAUUCUUUGUAGAAAACAUGUGGUAGCACGGAAGAGGACGAACGGGAACAAGACUUGAUCCACGUUAAUACUGGAGUUAAAUAGUUGAUAUAAAACUGGCAUGAUUCAACAAUACCAGCUUGCAACCUAUCAUGCCACCACAUGAUCAGGUUAUCUCACCAUCAAAUGAACACAUCGAAUUUCGAAGCUCACUUGCAACUUGCUUGCAUGAAAUAUAACAUUCAAAAAUGCUUAUAAACAUGUCAUGAGAAAACCACUUAAGAAAUCAUGAAAAACACUCAUCAUAUCAAAGGUUCAAACAUGCUUGCCUGGUUCGGAGUAGUCGGAGUCUAGCUCGGCGAAGUUUGCGGCUCCGUCACCUCCUUCGGUAUCUACGUUAUAAAAGAAAUCGGAUACUAACGUAAAUACCAUGUGUGCAUAAAAAUUGUUCCAAAUAUUUUUUUCAAAUAAAUAUGAUAAAAACUAGAUAGAAAAAUAAAGAUGACGGAAAAAGAAUCAACUCAAAAUCAUCUUCUAUUUAAAAGUUAUUAAGGUUUUACUCUAGGGACUAAUCUGUGAUGAAACAGAAACUUUCCAGGGGCUAGCCUAAAAACUGAAAAAGUUUCGGUUGGAAAUACGCCAACCCAAAGGGAAAACAUACUUUGCCAGAAGGCGCCUUCAGAAAACGUUUCAAAUAAAAGAGCAGAGGCUGACGAGGGGGUUCCGCAUGUCAGGUUUAAAAUCCCACCGCCGGCCGAAGCAAACGAUGAUCACCGGCGAUGAUCGACGGCGAUCCAGAGGAGGGCAAGGGUAUGGUUGCACUCACGGGACAAUUCCGCGUUGGUGGGUGGUGGAUUUGGUCGUCGGCGAGCACCACACCGACGGUGGCUUCCACUCCGGCGGACGGCGGUUCGGUCGAGGAUGGAUCCCUCCGAAGAGAGCUGCAAAUGCCAAAUUGAAGCGCGGGUUAGGGGAGUGGGUGCACUAGGAGGUUCCUCCCCAAGUUUGAGCUAGAGCUAUGCAAGGAAUCGAGUGAAUCAAGCUGGCUACCAGAGUGGGUCGUGGCGGCCGGAGUUGGGGAAGAAGGCCUCCUCUAGGUCCUUCUAGCGGCUGGGCGCGACUCUGGUGAGGUGGAGGAGUGGUGCUGGGUCGAAGGCGAGCUCGGGGCCUCUAUUUAUAGCCAGCCCGAGGCGGUUGCCGAGAACGGGAACACUCCGGCGAGCGAUUACGGCGAGGCAGUGGUCGGGCUGGAGGUUUAGGUGACUGGGCACCUUCGGAUUGGUUCACUGGUUCCAUUCAACAGCUAAGCUUGAUCGGAUUUGGCCUGCUCCCGUGGCCUCGACGGAACGGAGCUAACGGGCUCGUCGGCGGCAGAGAGCGUGCUCUGCGCCUCUCAGGCCACGGCGACGGUUCUGCAGCACGCAUAGGGAAGAGGACGGCCACGCGGAGGCUCCUGGUGGUGUGGGCGGUGCUGGACGGCACCGUAUUGUAGGGCUGGCCCCUGCUGGUCGCCACGGCGGUUCUGCCACCGCGGAAGACGCCGGAGUUAAUGUGACACGUCGCCACCGACGCUCGCGACCGGCCAAACAACCGUGCGGCGCAUUGGAUAAGAAGAAGGAGCAAUGAGCAACGAUCCAAGGCAGCUACUGACGAGAUUGACGAAGAGCCCUGGCGAAAAUGACACUGACGACUGAACCCAACACUGAACUUCUGAAACUUGACAGGAACAGUGUCGGCCACCUAUUUGACGAAAUGAUUUAUGCACGUGGAAAAUUCUUCUAGACCUGAAACUUGGUGAAGUGAUCUCUUGAUGCACCUGGAGACUGCCUGAAUUAUCUCAGAAUUUUUGGAAAAGAAAAAGAAUGAAAUUCACCAAAAAUGGCAAAUCUGGUCCAAACUUGCAGCAAGCAAAAUUUUGAAAAAUUUGUACUGUGGACUAGCAGAUCUUGAUGGAUCUAGGUUGAAGACACUAAGGACUAGCUAGAGGAAUUUAUUUGGAACCAAAACUCAAAGGAAAUCUAGUAGUUCCUUUGUAAAUCACUAAGGUCCAAAUAAAUGGCAGAAAAAGAUUUUGAGUUUAACAUAAAUAGAAUUAAAAUCUAGGGGAAGUUGAACUUUGCUGGACUUGAUGCUUGACUUGACCCAAAGUGGGGAGGUGGGUUUUGGAAGAAAGUUUUCAACAUAGGUCAUGGCUAGAGAGUAAUUUUUGAAUGGGAAAGAAUAAAAUUCAUAAUUUAUAGGAAUUCUUUUUAAUAAAAAGGAAUUGUAAAAACCUUCCAAAAUUAUUUGUGUUGAGCCAACACAAGAUGAAAAAUCUUCAAGACCAAAAAUCAAGAUUGGGAAGAACUCAUGAAAUAUUUGUCAUAAAAAGAUUUUAGAAGAUGCGCCCCUUUUUUGAAAAAUUCAAGUGACCUUCUUUAAAUCAAAUAAAUAAGUUGAUAAAAAUCAAAACCAAAAUUUUGGGGUGUUACAACACCUACCCCCUUAGGAAAAAUCUCGUCCUCGAGAUUUCAAUUGAUCCUCAAAUAGGUGUGGGUACUCUACCCGAAGGAGAUCCUCUCUUUCCCAUGUUGCUUCAUCCUCGGUGAUUACUCCACUGGACCUUGAAAAACUUAAUUGUUUUCUGACGGGUCCUUCUUUCAGACUCCUCCAAUAUUUUUAUUGGACGUUCCGUGUAGGUGAGGUCUGGUUGCAUGUCAAUGUUCUCGUGAGAUACAUGCUUUUCUGGGUUGCUUACACAUUUCCUCAACUGUGAGACGUGGAACACGUCGUGGACGUCUGACCGUUCUUCGCGUAGGUCUAGCUGGUAGGCCACUGUGCCUCUUCGUGCAAUCACACAGAAGGGUCCAAUAAACUGUGGUGCUAGCUUUCCUUUAACUUUGAAUUGUUGCAGGCCCCUCAUAGGAGAUACUCAUAGGUACACAUAUUCACCGGGUUCAAAGCUGACUUCACGAUGUUUUUGAUCGUAAUAACUCUUUUGUUGGCUCUGGGCUGUCUUGAGUCGAUCCCUGAUUAGUCUAACUUUCUCCUCAGCUUCCUUGAGCAUGUCUGGGCCGAAGAUAUGACUGUCUCCUGUUUCUGGCCAAUUUAAUGGGGUACGACAUCUUCGCCCGUACAAGGCUUCAAAAGGUGCCAUUUGUAGACUGGCUUGGUAACUGUUGUUGUAUGCGAACUCGGCAUACGGCAAGCUUUCUUCCCAACUGGUUCCAUAGGUGAGAACACAUGCUCUUACCAUGUCCUCUAAAAUUUGGUUCACACGUUCAGUUUGUCCUCCAGUCUGGGGGUGGUAUGUUGUACUGAAUACUAGUUGAGUUCCCAGAUCUUGUUGUAAAUGAUCCCAAAAUCUAGAGACGAAUUGAGUGUCUCUGUCGGAUAUUACAGUCUUUGGAAUUCCAUGCAGACAGACUAUACGGGAGAGAUAAAGUUUGGCAAGCUUCUGAGUGGUGUCGUUGUCUUUACUGGGAUGAAAUGUGCCACCUUAGUUAAUCUAUCUGUGAUGACCCAUAUGGCAUCAUUUCCGUGUCGUGACCAAGGUAGUCCGACAAUAAAAUCCAUUCCAAUUUCGUCCCACUUCCACUCAGGUAUCCUAUUUUGCUAUAAUAGUCCUGCCGGUUUUUGGUGCUCGGCUUUAAUGCGUUGACAUGAAUCACAACAUGCAAUGAAUGUGGCUAUAUCUCUCUUCAUACCGUGCCACCAAAAAAUUUCCUGAAUGUCCUUGUACAUUUGGGUUCCUCCAGGGUGGAUUGAAUAUGGAGCAGUGUGGCCUUCGGCUAGAAUUUGCUGUUUGAGGUCCUCUAUAUUUGGUACACAAAGUCUGUCUCCAUACCAUAAUAUUCCCUUAUCGUCUACGACGAAUUCUGAAGCCUUGCCCAGACUCACUUUACUUUUUAUGCCUUCGAUGCUGGGGUGUCCAUGCUGAGCCUUCUUAAUCUGUUCCAUUAGGGUGGGCUAUAUUUCCAAAUUUGACACAUUGCCUUCAGUGACCAUCACCAAGUUGAGUUUGGCGAACUCCUGCUGAAAUUCAGGUCUCAAGUUCUGUAGACUGUCGUUGCCCGAGCUGGGGUUUCGACUAAGAGCAUCUGCCACUACAUUCGCCUUUCCUGGAUGGUAGUGAAUGCCAACAUCAUAAUCUUUCACUAAUUCCAACCAGCGCCGUUGUCGUUAAUUGAGUUCUGGUUGUGUGAAAAUAUAUUUGAGGCUUUUAUGGUCCGUAUAUAUUUCACAACGAUUUCCAAGCAAAAAGUGCCUCCACUCUUUGAGUGCAUGAAUGACUGCUGCCAAUUCCAAGUCAUGAGUAGGAUAAUUUUCUUCAUGCUUUCAUAGUUUCCUGGAAACGUAUGCGACUACUUUGCCUUCUUGCAUUAGUACGCAUCUGAGGCCCUUCCGGGAUGCGUCACAAUAUACUUCAAAACUUUUGUGUAUGUCUGUUACAACCAAUACUGGUGCUGUUGUUAAUUUCCUUUUGAGUUCUUGGAAACUUUUCUCGCAAGCUUCAGUCCAUACAAUUUUCUUAUCCUUCUUGAGUAACGGUGUCAUUAGUUUUGCUAUGGUAGAGAACCCCUCAAUAAACCUUCAGUAAUAUCCAGCCAUCCCCAGGAUACUUCGUACAUCUGUUACAUUGGCUGGUGGUUUCCAGCCAAGUACAACCUUGACGUUUUCUGGGUCCACGGCAACACCUUCUUGGGUUAAUACGUGGCCUAGAAAACCAACAUGUCUUAACCAAAAUUUACAUUUGCUGACUUUGGCGUAUAAUUGAUGUUUCUUUAAUUCUCCCAGUACAAUUCUGAGAUGUUCAGCAUGUUCUUCUAGUGUCUUAGAGUAUACCAGAAUAUCAUUAAUGAACACCACAACAAAUUUGUCCAUAAAUUUCAUAAACACUUUGUUCAUGAGGUGGACAAAAUAUGCGGGGGCGUUUGUCAGUCCAAACGGCAUUACUGUAAAUUCAUAUAAUCCAUAUCUGAAGGUGAAUGUUGUCUUAGGGAUAUCUUCUGUCCGUACUUUUAAUUGAUGAUACCCCUACCUUAAAUCAAUUUUUGAGAAAACCUUGGCUAGUGCGAGCUGGUCAAAUAAAUCAUUUAUCCAUGGCAUCGGAUAUUUGUUUUUGAUGGUGACCAUGUUGAGUGCUCGAUAGUCUAUACAUAAUCUCAGUGUCCCAUCCUUUUUCUUGGCAAAUAAUACUGGUGAACCCCAAGGUGAGGAGAUGGCCCGUAUAAAUCCUUUGUCCAGUAAUUCUUUUAUUUGCUUCUUUAAUUCUACCAACUCGGAGGGUGCCAUUCUAUAGGGUUUCUUGUAAAUGGGGGUGGUUCCAGGUGCUAGUUCAAUGAUGAACUCUAUUUCCCGGUCUGGUGGCAUGCCUGGUAGUUCUUCGGGAAAUACGUCAGGGAACUCACACACCACUUGAACUUUUCUUAACUCUGAAAUGUCCACCUUGUUCAACCUUGGUUGCCGUGAUAUUGGUCUUUCUUGAGCUGCAAUUUUUAUCGUCUUCCCCUGAUGAUGAGUAAGAAUUACAGUCCGAUUGAAGCAGUCGAUAAAUCCCUUGUUGGUGGUUAACCAGUCCAUUCCUAGGAUAACAUCUAGUCCCUUAUUUUCCAAUACAAUGAGGUUUGCCUGAAACUUUAGUCCCUAAAUCUCAAUAACCACACCUUGGCAGUAAUUCUGAGUGAUUUGCUUAAUCCCGGGGGACUUGAUGGUCAUGGAUUUUUCCAAGGGAAGCAUCGAAAAAUCAUGUUGCAAAGAAAAUUUCUUUGAAAUGAACGAGUGAGAAGCUCCAGAAUCAAACAAAACCGUGGCAGGUAUUGUGUUGACAGGGAACGUACCGAGUACGAUAUCCGGGGCAUUCUGUGCUUCCUCCUUGGUCACAUGGUUCAAGUGACCCUUCUUGUGAUUGUUAUUGGGGUUGAAGUUGUUACGCUUGGGUGUUGAAUUAUUUCCACGGUUGUUCGGCUUGGGGGCCGAGUUUCUUGGCUUUGGGCACUGUUUGGCAUAGUGUCCUUCCUCUCCACAAGCGUAGCAAGUAACACCUGUGUGAUAUGUAAAAUCCUUGUCUCUUGCAUGAAAUUUUUUGCUUGGGCGUGGAACAAUGGUUGUGGAUUUGUUCGCUCCAAUUUUCUGAAAAUCAAUCUUGUUCCGGUUGUUGCAAGCAUGAGUAGUCUUGUCCCUUUUGCGCUUGCGAAAAUCCUCCAAGCCGCGGCGCUCAUUUUCCACUGUAAUAGCUUUGUCCACAAGUGUUUUGAAAUCCGGAAAGGUGUGUACGACCAGCUGGCAUUUAAGUGUUGGUGCCAGACCGUCCAGAAAUUUUUCCAUCUUUUUAUUUUCAGUCAUAUGCUCUUCGUUGGCAUAACGAGAUAAUUGAGUAAACUGACUGUUGUACUCAAUCACUGUCAUGCUUCUCUGCUUGAGGUCAUCAAACUCCUUUUUCUUGAUCCUCAUGAUGCUUCUGGGAAUGUGCACCCCACGAAAACCUUCUUUAAAUUCUUCCCAGGUGAUGUUAUUUUCAUUGGGGUGCAUGUGUAGGAAAUUUUCCCACCAUGAUGCAGCUGCUCCAGUGAGGUAGUGAGGUGCAUAAAGUACCUUCUCACGGUCCGAACAUUGUGCAAUAAUUAACUUCCUUUCAAUGUCUCGAAGCCAAUCAUCGGCCUCAAGAGGUCUAUCAAUGUGAGAGAACGUUGGGGGACGUGUCUUUUGUAGUUCAGACAAUUUGGAAUGCUACUGAUAUGGUUCUCGGUGAUUUCCCAUAUUGAUAACAUGGUUCAUCAUUUCUUGAUGCUGCUGCUGGCUUUGCUCAUAAAGGCGGCAUACUUGAGAAAAUGCUGCUUCACUGCCUUGCUGACUUGACUGCCCCUGUGUGAAAUUGUUACUUGUCUGGGUACCAUAAUUUUCUUUCGGCGGACUUGGCAUGGAACGAGUCCAGGGACGAGGCAUUUUCCACUCUGGGGUAUUUUUGCAGAAUUCAUGAGAAAAAUUGAGUGGCAAAAAUAAAUAAUUUUACAAAGGCGGAAUUUUUUCUUUUUAAAAAACUCCAAGAUUUUUAAGAAAAUACUUGAUUGCGCAAGGAGAAGGACUGCUCAGUACAUAUCUUACAUGCAAGUCGUAAUUAUACAAUACAUCACUCAGGAUGUGCGUACACAUUCCUGACAUGUUAUUUAGGCUAGUGCACUUCUCCGAGUUCCUAUAUGAUGCGCACACAAACUACUUCUCACCAAACCUAUAUACAUAUAAACAUAUCAUACAAGCUGGUACAUCGCACGGCUGCUAGGCGCACUCAGUCGGAGAUGGUAAAAACUUCCCUCGGCCUGCCGAGGGCAAGACCCAAUGAUGCUGGAGACUCAACCUCCUCCUCACUAAUAGGCUCCAGGCGCGAAGUACUGGGUUGAGGAGCUGGUGCGGACGCGACAGGUGGUGCAGCACUGACUGGAGUAGGAGCAAUGACUUGGUCAAACUCUUUAGUGGUAGGCAGGCGGCGAGCGGUGGCUAAGAUGGCAGGUGUAUAGGAUGCCGAGGACGAGACGUAAGUCAGUGGUGGUGCUGUAUGGAGGAGCUCCCUCCUGUUGGCGGAACAGCCCUGAACUAAGUCCAUACGAGCAGCCACAAAGUCGUCCACGAGGUUAUCAAAAGCUGCCUCAAGAGCUUUGAGAUACUCAACCAACAUUUCAAUAGCCUCAUCUCUCUCCCCCCUAGCUCAAGCGAACGCAUAGUGACAAGUGUAUGGCAUACAGUCAUCUGCAUGGCAUGCCUCUUGUCACUAUGGCAUACAGUCAUCUGUAUGGCAUACAGUCACUUGCCACGUGCCAUACACUUGUCACUAUGCGUUCGCUUGCGCUAGGGGGAGAGAGAUGAGGCUAUUGAAAUGUUGGUUGAGUAUCUCAAAGCUCUUGAGGCAGCUUUUGAUAACCUCGUGGACGACUUUUUGGCUGCUCGUAUGGACUUAGUUCAGGGCUGUUCCGCCAACAGGAGGUAGCUCCUCCAUACAGCACCACCACUGACUUACGUCUCGUCCUUAGAAUCCUAUACACCUGCCAUCUUAGCCACCACUCGCCGCCUACCUACCACUGAAGAGUUUGACCAAGUCAUUGCUCCUACUCCAGUCAGUGCUGCACUAACUGUCGCGCCCGCACCAGCUCCUCAACCCAGUACUUUGUGCCUGGAGCCUAUUAGUGAGGAGGAGGUUGAGUCUCCAGCAUCACUGGGUCUUACCCUCGGUAGGACGAGGGAAGUUUUUACCAUCUCCGACUGAGUGCGCCUAGCAGCCGUGCGAUGUACCAGCUUGUAUGAUAUGUUUAUAUGUAUAUAGGUUUGGUGAGAAGUAGUUUGUGUGCGCAUCAUGUAGGAACUCGGAGAAGUGCACUAGCCUAAAUAACAUGUCAGGAAUGUGUACACACAUCCUGAGUGAUGUAUUGUAUAAUUACGGCUUGCGCGUAAGAUAUGUACUGAGCGGUCCUUCUCCUUGCACAAUCAAGUAUUUUCUUGAAAAAUCUUGGAGUUUUUUUAAAAGAAAAAAAAUUCCGCCUUUGUAAAAUUAUUUAUUUUUUCCACUCAGUUUUUCUCAUGAAUUCUGCAAAAAUACCGCAGAGUGGAAAAUGCCUCGUCCCUGCACUCGUUCCAUGCCAAGUCCGCCGGAAGAAAAUUAUGGUACCCAGACAAGUAACAGUUUCACACAGGGGCAGUCAAGUCAGCAAGGCAGUGAAGCAGCAUUUUCUCAAGUAUGCCGCCUUUAUGAGCAAAGCCAGCAGCAGCAUCAAGAAAUGAUGAACCAUGUUAUCAAUAUGGGAAAUCACCGUGAACCAUAUCAGCAGCAUUCCAAAUUGUCUGAACUACAAAAGACACGUCCCCCAACAUUCUCUCACACUGAUAGACCUCUUGAGGCUGAUGAUUGGCUUCGACACAUUGAAAGGAAGUUAAUUAUUGCACAAUGUUCGGAUCGUGAGAAGGUACUUUAUGCACCUCACUACCUCACUGGAGCAGCUGCAUCAUGGUGGGAAAAUUUCCUACACAUGCACCCCAAUGAAAAUAACAUCACUUGGGAAGAAUUUAAAGAAGGUUUUCGUGGGGCGCACAUUCCCAGAAGCAUUAUGAGGAUCAAGAAAAGGGAGUUUGAUGACCUCAAUCAGAGAAGCAUGACAGUGACUGAGUACAAUAGUCAGUUUACUCAAUUAUCUCGUUAUGCCAACGAAGAGCAUAUGACUGAAAAUAAAAAGAUGGAAAAAUUUCUGGACGGUCUGGCACCAACACUUAAAUGCCAGCUGGUCGUACACACCUUUCCGGAUUUCAAAACACUUGUGGACAAAGCUAUUACAUUGGAAAAUGAGCGCCGCGGCUUGGAGGAUUUUCGCAACCGCAAAAGGGACAAGACUACUCAUGCUUGCAACAACCGGAACAAGACUGAUUUUCAGAAAAUUGGAGCGAACAAAUCCACAACCAUUGUUCCACGCCCAAGCAAAAAAUUUCAUGCAAGAGACAAGGAUUUUACAUAUCACCCAGGUGUUACUUGCUACGCUUGUGGAGAGGAAGGACACUAUGCCAAAUAGUGCCCAAAGCCAAGAAACUCGGCCCCCAAGCCGAACAACCAUGGAAAUAAUUCAACACCCAAGCGUAACAACUUCAACCCUAAUAACAAUCACAAGAAGGGUCACUUGAACCAUGUGACCAAGGAGGAAGCACAUAAUGCCCCGGAUAUCGUACUCGAUACGUUCCCAGUCAACACAAUACCUGCCACAGUUUUGUUUGAUUCUGGAGCUUCUCACUCGUUCAUUUCAAAGAAAUUUUCUUUGCAACAUGAUUUUUCGAUGCUUCCCUUGGAAAAAUCCAUGACCAUCAAGUCCCCCGGGAUUAAGCAAAUCACUCAGAGUUACUGCCAAGGUGUGGUUAUUAAGAUUAAGGGACUAAAGUUUCAGGCAAACCUCAUUGUAUUGGAAAAUAAGGGACGGGAUGUUGUCCUAGGAAUGGACUGGUUAACCACCAACAAGGGAUUUAUCGACUGCUUCAAUCGGACUGUAAAUCUGACUCGUCAUCACGGGAAGACGAUAAAAAUUGCAGCUCAAGAAAGACCAAUAUCACGGCAACCAAGGUUGAACAAGGUGGACAUUUCAGAGUUAAGAAAAGUUCCAGUGGUGUGUGAGUUCCCUAACGUAUUUCUUGAAGAACUACCAGGCAUGCCACCAGACCGAAAAAUAGAGUUCAUCAUUGAACUAGCACCUGGAACCACCCCCAUUUACAGGAAACCCUAUAGAAUGGCACCCUCCGAGUUGGUAGAAUUAAAGAAGCAAAUAAAAGAAUUACUGGACAAAGGAUUUAUACGGGCCAGCUCCUCACCUUGGGGUUCACCAGUAUUAUUUGCCAAGAAAAAGGAUGGGACACUGAGAUUAUGUAUAGACUAUCGAGCACUCAACAUGGUCACCAUCAAAAACAAAUAUCCGAUGCCACGAAUAAAUGAUUUAUUUGACCAGCUCGCACAAGUCAAGGUUUUCUCAAAAAUUGAUUUAAGGUCGGGGUAUCAUCAAUUAAAAGUACGGACAGAAGAUAUCCCUAAGACAGCAUUCACCUCUAGAUACGGAUUAUAUGAAUUUAUAGUAAUGCCGUUUGGACUGACAAACGCCCCCGCAUAUUUUGUCCACCUCAUGAAAAAAGUGUUUAUGAAAUUUAUGGACAAAUUUGUUGUGGUGUUCAUUGAUGAUAUUCGGUAUACUCUAAGACACUAGAAGAACAUGCUGAACAUCUCAGAAUUGUACUGGGAGACUUAAAGAAACAUUAAUUAUACGCCAAAUUCAGCAAAUGUGAAUUUUGGUUAAGACAAGUUGGUUUUCUAGGCCACGUAUUGACCCAAGAAGGUGUUGCCAUGGACCCAGAAAAAGUCAAGGCCGUACUUGGCUGGAAACCACCAGCCAACGUAACAGAUGUACGAAGUUUCCUGGGGAUGGCUGGAUAUUACUGAAGGUUUAUUGAGGGGUUCUCCACCAUAGCAAAACCAAUGACACAAUUACUCAAGAAGGAUAAGAAAUUUGUAUGGACUGAAGCUUGCGAGAAAAGUUUCCAAGAACUCAAAAGGAAAUUAACAACAUCACUAGUAUUGGUUGUACCAGACAUACACAUAAGUUUUGAAGUAUAUCGUGACGCAUCCCGGAAGGGCCUCGGAUGUGUACUAAUGUAAGAAGGCAAAGUAGUCGCAUACGCUUCCAGGCAACUACGAAAGCAUGAAGAAAAUUAUACUACUCAUGACUUGGAAUUGGCAACAGUCAUUCAUGCACUCAAAGAGUGGAGGCACUUUUUGCUUGGAAAUCAUUGUGAAAUAUAUACGGACCAUAAAAGCCUCAAAUAUAUUUUCACACAACCAGAACUCAAUUUACGACAACAACACUGGUUGGAAUUAGUGAAAGAUUAUGAUGUUGGCAUUCACUACCAUCCAGGAAAGGCGAAUGUAGUGGCAGAUGCUCUUAGUCGAAACCCCAGCUCGGGCAACGACAAUCUACAGAACUUGAGACCUGAAUUUUAGCAGGAGUUCGCCAAACUCAACUUGGUGAUGGUCACUGAAGGCAAUGUGUCAAAUUUGGAAAUACAGCCCACCCUAAUGGAACAGAUUAAGAAGGCUCAGCAUGGACACCCCAGCAUCGAAGGCAUAAAAAGAAAAGUGAAUCUGGGCAAGGCUUCAGAAUUCGUCGUAGAUGAUAAGGGAAUAUUAUGGUACAGAGACAAACUUUGCGUACCAAAUAUAGAGGACCUCAAACAGCAAAUUCUAGCCAAAGGCCACACCGCUCCAUAUUCAAUCCACCCUGGAGGAACCAAAAUGUACAAGGACAUUCAGGAAAAAAUUUGGUGGCACGGUAUGAAGAGGGAUAUAGCCACAUUCAUUGCAUGUUGUGAUUCAUGUCAGCGCAUUAAAGCCGAGCAUGAAAAACUAGCAGGACUAUUACAGCCAAACAUGAUACUUGAGUGGAAGUGGGACGAAAUUGGAAUGGAUUUUAUUGUCGGACUACCUUGGUCAGGACACGGAAAUGAUGCCAUAUGGGUCAUCACAGAUAGAUUAACUAAGGUGGCACAUUUCAUCCCAGUAAAGACAACCCACACCACUCAGAAGCUUGCCAAACUUUAUCUCUCCCGUAUAGUCUGUCUGCAUGGAAUUCCAAAGACUAUAAUAUCCGACAGAGACACUCAAUUCGUCUCUAGAUUUUGGGAUCAUUUACAACAAGAUCUGGGAACUCAACUAGUAUUCAGUACAGCAUACCACCCCCAGACUGGAGGACAAACUUAACGUGUGAACCAAAUUUUAGAGGACAUGCUAAGAGCAUGUGUUCUCACCUAUGGAACCAGUUGGGAAGAAAGCUUGUCGUAUGCCGAGUUCGCAUACAACAACAGUUACCAAGCUAGUCUACAAAUGGCACCUUUUGAAGCCUUGUACGGGCGAAGAUGUCGUACCCCAUUAAAUUGGCCAGAAACAGGAGACAGACGUAUCUUCGGCCCAGACAUGCUCAAGGAAGCUGAGGAGAAAGUUAGACUAAUCAGGGAUCGACUCAAGACAGCCCAGAGCCGACAAAAGAGUUAUUACGAUCAAAAACAUCGUGAAGUCAGCUUUGAACCCGGUGAAUAUGUGUACCUACGAGUAUCUCCUAUGAGGGGUCUACAAUGAUUCAAAGUUAAAGGAAAGCCAGCACCACGGUUUAUUGGACCCUUCUGUGUGAUUGCACGAAGAGGCACAGUGGCCUACAAGCUAGACCUACCCGAAGAACUAUCAGACAUCCACGACGUGUUCCAUGUCUCACAGUUGAGGAAAUGUGUAAGCAACCCAGAAAAGCAUGUAUCUCACGAGAACAUUAACAUGCAACCAGACCUCACCUACACGGAACGUACAAUAAAAAUAUUGGAGGAGUCUGAAAGAAGGACCCAUCAGAAAACAAUUAAGUUUUUCAAGGUCUAGUGGAGUAAUCACACCGAGGAUGAAGCAACAUGGGAAAGAGAAGAUUUCCUUCGGGCAGAGUACCCACACCUAUUUGAGGAUCAGCUGAAAUCUCGGGGGUGAGAUUUUUACUAAGGGGGUAGGUGUUGUAACACCCCAAAAUUUUGGUUUUGAUUUUUAUCAACUUCUUUAUUUGAUUUAAAGAAGGUCACUUGAAUUUUUCAAAAAAAAGGGGCUCAUCUUCUCAAAUCUUUUUAUGACAAAUAUUUCAUGAGUUCUUCCCAAUCUUUAUUUUUGGUCUUGAAGAUUUUUCAUCUUGUGUUGGCUCAACACAAAUAAUUUUGGAAGGUUUUUACAAUUCCUUUUUAUUAAAAAGAAUUCCUAUAAAUUAUGACUUUUAUUCUUCCCCAUUCAAAAAUUACUCUCUUGCCGUGACCUAUGUUGAAAAAUUUCUUCCAAAACCCACCUCCCCACUUUGGGUCAAGUCAAGCAUCAAGUCCAGCAAAGUUCAACUUCCCCUAGAUUUUAAUUCUAUUUAUUUUAAACUCAAAAUCUUUUUCUGCCAUUUAUUUGGACCUUAGUGAUUUACAAAGGAACUACUAGAUUUCCUUUGAGUUUUGGUUCCAAAUAAAUUCCUCUGGCUAGUCCUUAGUGUCCUCAACCUAGAUCCAUCAAGAUCUGCUAGUCCAUAGUACGAAUUUUUCAAAAUUUGCUUGCUGCAAGUUUGGACCGAAUUUGCCAUUUUUGGUGAAUUUCAUUCUUUUUAUUUUCCAAAAAUUCUGGGAUAAUUCAGGCAGUCUCCAGAUGCAUCAAGAGAUCACUUCACCAAGUUUCAGCUCUAGAAAAAUUUUCCACGUGCAUAAGUCAUUUCGUCGAACAGGUGGCCGGCACUGUCCAUGUCAAGUUUCAGAAGUUCAGUGUUGGGUUCAGUCGCAGUGUCGUUUUCGUCAGGGCUCUUCAUCAAUCUCGCCAGUAGCUGCCUUGGAUCGUUGGUCGCUGCUCCUUCUUAUCCAAUGCGCCGCACGGUUGUUUGGCCGGUUGCAAGCGUCGGUGGCGACGUGUCACGUCAACUCCGCCGUCUUCCGCGGUGGCAGAACCGCCGUGGCGACCAGCAGGGGCCAGCCCUGUAGUACGGCGCCGUCCAACACCGCCCACACCACCAGGAGCCUCCGCGUGGCCGUCCUCUUCCCUGUGCGUGCUGCACAACCGUUGCCGUGGCCUGAGAGGCGCGGAGCAUGCUCUCUGCCGCCGACGAGCCUGUGAGCUCUGUUCCGUCAAGGCCACGGGAGCAGGCCAAAUCCAAUCAAGCUUAGCUGUUGAAUGGAACCAGUGAACCAAUCUGAAGGUGCCCAGUCACCUAAACCUCCAGCCCGACCACUGCCUCGCCGUAAUCGCUCGUCGGAGUGAUCCCGUUCUCGGCAACCGCCUUGGGCCCACUAUAAAUAGAGGCCCCGAGCUCGCCUUCGACCCAGCACCACUCCUCCACCUCACCAGAGUCACGCCUAGCCACUAGAAGGACCUCAAGGAGGCCUUCUUCCCCAACUCCGGCCGCCAUGACCCGCUCUGGUAGCCAGCUUGAUUCACUCGAUUCCUUGCAUAGCUCUAGCUCAAACAUGGGGAGGAACCUCCUAGUGCACCCACUCCCCUAACUCGCGCUUCAAUUUGGCGUUUGCAGCUCUCUUCGGAGGGAUCCAUCCUCCACCGAACCGCCAUCCGCCGGAGUGGAAGCCGCCGUCGGCGUGGUGCUCGCCGACGACCAAAUCCACCACCCACCGACGCGGAAUCGUCCCGUGAGUGCAACCAUACCCUUGCCCUCCUCUGGAUCGCCGUCGAUCAUCGUCGGCGAUCAUCGUUUGCUUCGGCCGGUGGUGGGAUUUUAAACCUGACAUGUGGGACCCCCUCGUCAGCCUCUCCUCUUUUAUUCGAAACGUUUUCUCAAAGCGCCUUCGGGCAAAGUACGUUUUCCCUUUGGGUUGGCGUAUUUCCAACCGAAAUGUUUUCUGUUUUUUUAAGCUAGCCCCUGGAAAGUUUUUAUUUCAUCACAGAUUAGUCCCUGGACUAAAACCUUAAUAACUUUUAAACAGAAGAUGAUUUUGAGUUGAUUCUUUUUCUGUCAUCUUUAUUUUUCUAUCUAGUUUUUUAUAAUAUUUAUUUGAAAAAUAUUUGGAACAAUUUUUAUGCACGCACGGUAUUUACGUUAGUAUCUGAUUUCUUUUAUAACGUAGAUACCGAAGGAGGUGAUGGAGCCGCAAACUUCGCCGAGCUAGACUCCGACUACUCCGAACCAGGCAAGCAUGUUUGAACCUUUGAUAUGAUGAGUGUUUUUCAUGAUUGCUUAAGUGGUUUUCUCAUGACAUGUUUAUAAGCAUUUGUGAAUGUUAUAUUUCAUGCAAGCAAGCUGCAAGUGAGCUUCGAAAUUCGAUGUGUUCAUAUGAUGGUGAGAUAACCUGAUCAUGUGGUGGCAUGAUAGGUUGCAAGAUGGUAUUGUUGAAUCAUGCCAGUUUUAUAUCAACUGUUUAACUCCAGUAUUAAUGUGGAUCAAGUCUUGUUCCCGUUCGUUCCCUUCCGUGCUACCACAUGUUUUCUGCAAAGAAUACGGUUUAGUAAGUUGCAAACCUCUUUCCUUGUACACACAAAAUAGAGGGGCCAUGAUGGGGGCUCCAUGGCCCUUGAUUAAAGCCCGUCAUCCGGUCAGGGGGCAUGGGUGUUUCCGGUUGGGACCAAGAGGGGGGCACCCCUUAGAGCGCGCGAUAUAAAUUUGAUCCCAUGCUAUUCGAGGUUGUAGCCUCCCCGUCUUAGAGUUUUUCUUGAACGUUGCCUAGGGUGAUUCCUGGCAGCGGAAUGUGGAAUGGGUGUGUACUGGUUAGAUGUGUUUCUCCGAAAAUACCAUAAAAGGAACUAGUCCUUUGUGACUACUGAAAACCGUUGGCUGUGGUUAAAGAGUACAAACUCUGCCGAGUCAAAACCAUUCCAGUAACCAUGUCCAUGGUCAAGGACUUUGAUCAACAUAUUAGUGUCAAUCUCAGUAUCAGUCUCAGUGUCAGUCUCAGUGACAGUCUCCGGAGAAUAAGCAUGAAACUGAGAGUGGUAAACCCGACCGAAUAUUAUUCCUGUGGAUGGACUAACCAGUUUAUUAUCAUGUACCGAGUAUCCCGUGGAAUGAUGUUACCUUCAUGAGCUACUUGAAUUCAAAUGAUGAGAUAUAAGCCCUUUAUGUUAUGUCGCUCAGACGUCCGAUUGUGGCAUUCUUGUUAUUUACUUUGAUAUAAGCCCUUUAUGUGAUGUCGCUUAAAUGUCCGACUGUGGCAUUCUUGUUAUUUACUUUGAUAUAAGCCCUUUAUGUGAUGUCGCUUAGACGUCCGACUGUGGCAUUCUUGUUAUUUACUUUGAUGUAAGCCCUUUAUGUGAUGUCGCUUAGACGUCCGACUGUGGCAUUCUUGUUAUUUACUUUUGAUAUAAGCCUUUUAUGUGAUGUCGCUCAGACGUCUGACUGCGGCAUCCUUGUUAUUUACUUUCAUUAUAAGCCCUUUUCGAGAUGUCGCUUAGAUGUCCGACUGUGGCACGUACUGUCAUUUAUGUUUCAAUAUAAGCUCUUUAUGUGGUGUCGCCCUGACGCCCGACUGCGGCAUGUUAAGUUAUUUUACCUUUGGAGGCGUCGCUUCAGACACCUGAUCGGUCUUCAACUAUUUUAUUGGAUUUCGGGAGGACUACCGCCUAACUUCCUUUUUAUUUAACAUGCAGUGCAAAUUUAUUAUCUGAGUGCGCAUUACUAGUCUACUCAUGUGCAUCAUGUUUGCAUUCGUUAUAUCUUAUGUCCAAACUGUCUUGUGAGUACAUUCAAAGUACUCAUCUGUCUUGUUGAUUUGGCCAGAUGUUGACGAAGGCGAUCUUACGGAUGAAGAGUACGAUAGCGAGUCCGACGCCUAGAGGAGUCCCAGUCAGUCCCAUGCGAUCCUAGAGUUGGUCACUUGUAUUAUAUACGCUUCCGCUACCCUAAUAAAAUCAUCAAGCCUCACUCUGGCGCUUGAUGAGCUAUAAGAUUUUGGAGUCAUGUCACCCACUUCACUGUGAUAUAUCCACCACCACUUUUAUUACGAGUCAGUAGUUAUGCCACCACACCCUUUGUGUCAUAUCCGCCUUUAUGUAUAAUAUCGGCGUGCUUGUGAUAAAUUGUUGAGCAGCCUCAGCUCAACCUUGUAUAAUAGUAAGUACUUCUGGAUUUCUGUAUCAAGGAUUUGUCUACCAGUAAGGAGAAUUCUUCUAUACUGGUCUGAUAUAAUGUUCAGUUUUUUCAAUAAACAUUUUAUUGGAAAACCGGUCCUAACACACGCCUAGCUUUGUUGUAGCUAAUAGGAAGGCUAAUUUGAUCUUCGGUUGUUUUCUUCAAAGCCCUAAUACUAAUGUUGAGACUUUGUUCCACAGUCCUUUGCAUCCUCUGUGACACAUAUUAUGUGGUCACAUUGCAGUGAUCUGAAAGAGUCCUAGUUUGCUCAUAGCUAUGGGCCACUAUUUUUAUUAUAUGCCAUGGAUGACAUACCCCAGGCUUCAGGCGAGCGACAACUCUUCCAAGGCAACCCUCAGCGGAAUGGAUGCAGAUGACCUUCAACUCUUUUUUAUCAGACUGCUCCACUCUAUGCUGGUGUGGAGGGCGAUUGCAUAGUUAUUUAUUGUCUGGUAAGCAGAUUUGUUGUCUGGGAAAAUCUGCCCAACCUGUAGACUUCCCGCUUCUAGUCCAGAAACAAAGUGAAAUUCAUUGAUGAUGCUCAUAACCGGUAAAAACUCAGGUUCCAAUGGUGCCGCGACCGCCCUCUGAGGAGGAACAACUUCUUCUUUCUUCCUGAGUCCAAAGAGGCAGAAGAAUGACCGGCAUUGUCAUCAUCUAGCGCCUCCGGCAACCCUUCCACAUGUUCGCUCAAGUAAACGGUUGCAGACCAAUAUCUUGUGCCAUACACUUGGUUGCCGCCUGUCGGUUCUGAUGGGUCGGCGCUAGGGGCUGUUGUGAUGGCCAACUCGGCCUCACCACCGCUGCUACUACAUCCGGCAUCAUCAUUGAUAGAAAUGAACUCCACAUACACCAUCGGUUCUCCAAACAUAGAGCAACUAGGAUUGCUUGCAAACCUCAUGUACGACCCCCACAAGUUUUCUCCUAUGACCUGCCGCAGACCCCAACGGGCAACUGUACCAUCAUUACAUCCGACAACGACAAAGGCCUCAAUGGUCAUUUUCUUUCCAUGCAUCUCAAGGCCAAACACCGCUUAGAUGUAUCUUCUGACUGCCGCAUAAUCUACUUUGACCAUGUCUCUCACUACCACUGUCGUCGAUCCGAACAUGGACACAUCGACCCCGGAAGGACCUUCACGUACAACAUCCCCAUAUAGAACACUAACAAAUUUUCCAUUAUGUAUAACUGAAUCCUUUCCAAGUCCUCUAACACCCCCACAGAUUUAGGUCGUCGGAUCACGCGUCUCGGCUGUCCCUGACCGUCCAGGGCAAGUUUUUGUCAUGUGUGGGCUGAUGCUGGUACGGAUGUCCUGGGCCACUAUUCCCGCGGCCGAAUCGGAAGAAUCUCGUUCACUGGCAUGCGCUAACGUCGGAUGUCGAUUGCCGAACAAACGACGGCAGUGGCCACCUCUUGGGGAAAAACUAGGCUAGGCGCCGACUUCACCGAUCUGACCCUCCGGCCCCGAUCUCAAUCUCUUCCUGCUUGUCAAGUAGGUCGUCAUCCACAUGUGCGUUGCCAUCCAAGUUCCAAGAUGGCUGCUGCCCUGCUGCACUUGCUCCACGUUGGUCAUCCCUUGCCUACAGGUACAGCUCAAGAUGGCCGCCGCCCUGCUGCACUUGCUCCAUGUUGGCAGUCCCUUGCCUACAGGUACAACUCAAGAUGGCCGCAACCCGGCUGCACGUGCUCCACGUUGGUAGUCCCUUACCUACAGGUACAGUUCUCCUUUCCCCUUACGCAAUAUGCCUAGGCUACAGGGGAAUGCCAUCGACCAAUACACGAGAAUCCCAAAAGAAAUGGCUGCAGACGCUCUCAUGCAGCUUGCUAGGUCUUAGAAUAUCUCCUUUGCGUGAGAGCUUUGACAUGAUACAAGGCCCUUGACAAUUAUCACUGAUACACUCGAUUGAAUCAUGUGAGUUCCAUUGUAUCUAUUUGAUCAUUUUUUGUCAACUUGUUCAAGAUAUUCCAAAUAAAACUCAAAUUUCUCUUGUUUCUUUUAUGUACCAUUUGAUCAUUUUUUUAAGUGUAAAAUGUAUGUUGGUGAUACUUUUUUAGUUGGUUCUUUCUCUUUUACAGAAUUGAGCAGAAAGAAAAUGAUAUAACUUUUCGUUUGCUUUAACAAUGAAAGGUUUGAACUUGGAAAAUACUUCAAUUCUGUCACAGGAGUCUUGUGCAUUUAAUCCUGAGGGGAAACCACAUGCAGAGAAAUUCAAGAAGUAGUUGUAUAGGACUAGCCACAGUGGGAAUAACUUCAACAGUAACAUCGAGUCCAACUCAGCAAAUUGCUUAUGUGGCAAUGAGUUAAUGAGGAGAGAGGUAGUUUGAGUAACUUAGCUAAUUACUGUAACAUCACAUGUCCCAAUGCAAUAUGAGUCUAUAACCUAAUAAAUGAAGCUUUGCAUGACACCAUACUUAUGUUACUACCCACUAUGAAGGUAGUAACAUAGUCUAGGGAUAUGUGUAUGUUACUAGUGUAUGUUACUCUCCAUUGUGGCUAGUCUAACCAGGUUUACUAACAUCUAUGUGUUUCUCUUAUUUAUAUUGUGCAUUCAUUUAUAUUUUUAAUUUAUCUCUUCAUCUCUUGAAAUUAGUAUAGUAACCAAUCCACUUUCUGAUUUUCUGUGCAGCAACUAUACUAGAAGCUGGCAUGCACAACGAGGAUGGUUACGUGCCUCUUUAAGUCAUCCAGUGUUACAUUAAUUCUUUUCUUGGCACUAAUUUGUUAAAAAAUAUAGAAUUCCCUCUUUAGAAAAUGAUGUUAGUGAACAUCUCAAUUUAAUUUUUUUUACAUUCCAAAAUAGUCAAGUUUUUUACAUAACAUUUUUUUGGCUCACAUAAUUCUUGAAUGCCUUCCAUGGGAUGACAGGAAUCUUGCUCAUCUAGCAAAAUAAAAGAUAACGAAGAAAUUUGGAAGGUGGGAAAACUUGGAAUUUCUCGGAGGUAUUGUCAUGGCGGUGCCCACGUAGUUUGGGAAAUUUUGCUUUCAGCUUGGAUGAAGCUUUGUCAUAAAGGAUGGCAUAUACAAUCUUAAAGGCAAGAGAGUUUAGUUGCUUAACUAAUAAGGUUUAUACUACCUCCUUUUCGGUUUAUAUGGCUCAAUUUGUAAAUCUCUCCAACCCAGGUAGAUGGUGAGUGGUGAAAUAAAUUUCGUAGUUUGAAAAAAAUACUUGAUUACUACACUUGUUUUUUCUCAAAAAGUUGUAUUUACCGAUGCAUUAAUUACAAUGCAUGCAUGUGUGACCAUUAAACGACCAAAAACUUCAACAUGCGUUGGUUAGUUUUUUGUUGAUCCUUGCAUGCAGUGAUUUAAUGCAUUUUGAAAUCUAAACAUGUGAUGAUGAGUAGUAGAAUUGAUAUAAAAUGGAAAAGGAUUUUUUGUAGAUGAGCCAUAUAAACCAUAAAGGAGGGAGUACAUCUUGCGGUGGAUUCAACCUACAAACCUCAUAAAGUGCGCCCCCAGUGUCUGACUAAUCAAACCCUGAAAUUUUUCGCUAAUGGUAUUUAAAGAAUUGUGUGGUUACAUGUUUCCUACAAUUUUUUGGUUACCAUGCAUUUCCUUCCCAUUUAAUAAAUGCAUCGCACAAUAUAAAUGCUCAAAUUUUAACUUUCGAGAUAGGGUAAAGUCAAUAAUAAUGGAACAUAGUAUGUUAAAUGUUGGUUGCUCUGGCUUAUAUGAUGACAGAUUGCCCCGCUAGCGCAGCCUGAGCCCACUAAACAUUACUUUUGUUGUACUAAGAAAAUAUUUAGCCUGGGAGAAAAUAAGUAAAGAAUAAUAUUUUCCAGGUUAUGAGCUUAUCCUUUCUGAAGCUUGGCCAGCUUCGAUUAUCAUGAACAUCUACGACAAUAAUAAAUUGAAUAUUUCUCCUUUUCGGCUAUAUUUGUAGUGGACUUAUCGUUCGUAUGGGUAAAUGUAGUUUACUAAUUCUGUGAGAAGUACCAAGAGGACACAUUGUUAAAAUUGGAACUAUUUGUAGCUCUUGACUUUCCUGAUUAAGUCGUUAUCCCAUGGAAUAACUCUCUUUGUUCUGCCUGUUUAGGAUAGACUCUGACUUAACCAACUUCGGCACUCUGAAUUCUGCUACAGUGCUCUUCUCUAGCUGUUGAGCUCCCUCAUUUUGUGGGAUUUAGUUAAUCUACAUGCAUCCCUCUUAUAUUCCACAAAGUAGAAAGUUGGCAAACUAUUUGACCAUGUGUAGGAUUAGAGGCAAUUAUGAGUACAACACUUACUUAUUUCGUUACAGCCCAAGCUAAGAUAUCUUAAUUUUAUAAAAGAUCAAAGAUACAUAAUCAGUAAAUCUACAUGCUUUCUAAUAUCAUAUUGCUACAUGUUAAUGAUUUGUGCUAUACUACUGUAGGAUGUGGUCGUAUUUGAUCGGAUUUUUUGUCGAAAAACACCCUCUGGCCAACACAAUUGACAAAAGGACUACCUACAUAUCAAAUUGACAAAAAAGACCCCCUCAACGGUGGCGGCAGGCGCGGCGGCCGACACGUGGCUCCUGCCGCCAUGCUAGGAGGCUGCGGGCCCUACCACCACGCGCUGAGGCGGGCGGCCGGCUAUUACGUAAUUUCCAGUGCGCUGGGAGCCGGGACGGAACGGGGCCGGGCAUGUGGGCCCUGCCGCCACUCGUCGAGGCAGUCGGCACUGUUGCUACUGCAUGCAUGCCGACAACACCUACUGCACACGCAGCGAGGAGGUGGGCCACACCACCACUCCCCGAGGCAGUCGCGUUGUUGUUGCUGCUCGCGGCGCGACAACUUCGCUGUGGUAGAUGGCGAUGAUUCCACAUGCGGACGACGCUGAUUUCCACGGACAGGAAUCCGAUGUUGUGCGGUAGGUGAAUUUUUGACGUCUUGUGCCGACACUCUACGGUGCUCCUCUGCACUCUCUUUGCUUCCCUGCGUACACUCUCCACUCCACUCUGUGUGGUUCGCAUGUCGUUCGGCGGGAAUCAUUUCUGGCAGUGAUUCCGCUGCGGUGCUGCCCGUUGUUUGAUAAUUCCCACUGCUUUCUAUGCAGUCGACACCGAUCAAAAGCAGCGCAUGAUUCCUACCUAAAGUUUUGCUCAUCGGUUGUUGCAGCCGAUGCGACAGCACCAAGGCAUGCUAUGCCGACACUGGUUGCACAGUUUUGAAUCACGCGUAUUUCACACCUAAAAUUUCAUCUAUUCACGCCUAUUUUCUCGCCAUCAUUUCGUGAGGCCAAGGCAACAGAAGAAGCUGGCGAUGGAAAAGAAAAAUAUCCGCGUUGGACUCAGUAGAUACCUGUGCUACUAUUUUAAAUUUCGCAACCAUUUGUAUCUUAAUUUCGGUAGUUUAAUGUAGCUUUAUUUCAGUAGUUAAAUGUAGUUUUAUUUCAAUAGUACAAUGUAUCUUAUUUUCAGUUGUGCCGUGUCCAAAUGUCUUACUUACCUUAUUUCCUUCUUUCUUUCUCUCCCCACCUGAAAACACUUUAAUAAUACAAACUAAUUAUCAAACAUUGUGCAACAACUACAACAUCAAAUUAAGAUCAAACAUAAUGACCAUACAAUAAGGCAGUACAAACUAAUAAUGCAAGUAUAUCUGAAUUAAAUAGUAGAACUGAACUUAAAAACUAAAAAUACAGCUUAAAAACUACAUGAAGGCAUCAUCGUCAUCCUCUGUCGAUGCAGAACUCUUGCUCUUCGACGAUGCAGAACUCUUGCCCUUCGACGAUGCAGAACUCUUGGCCUUGGUACUCGGCGUGAAGAUAUCGUCUUCAUCCUCGCUAUCCAUAGUCCAUAAAAAAGUAUUUUCUGCUGCAAACUUUAGGUAUGAUUCACCCUUACUCUGUUGCUUCAUCCAUUUUCCAUGCAACCUGAGAAGUUCUUUCUGUAUCUCCUCAAAGGUCCUGGAAGGCCACUCGCACCUACUUAAUGUGUGAGCCAGUUCAUUCAGUAAGGUGUCAGUAUUGAUGAAUUUGUCCCGUGGAACUAAUAUGUUGUCUACCCUGAAAUCGGCAGCUAAAUCCAGAAGACACUGAGACAUACGAGGGUGAAAACUACGAUCAAAAGGAUAUCCGGACAUCUUGGCAAGACUACGAGAUUACACUAGAAUGUUUACCCAACUUAGUGUCGAGGGUGUUUUAUAGGUUGAGAACACAAACAGAGGCGGCAACUCGGAGGCGGGAAAAUAUGGCAGGAACUAGAUAGCGGGAAAAUAUGGUGGGAACUAAGAAAGCGGGAAAAUAUGGCGGGAGAUAUAGGCGGGAAACUAUGGCACGAGAUAUAGGCGGGAAACUAUGGCAGGAGAUAUAGGCGGGAAACGACGGCGCAAGAUAAAUGCGAGAACUUAGAAGCGAGAAACUAUGGCGGGAGGUAUACGUGAUAAACAUUGUUGUCGCCUGGUCCAGUAGCGGCAGGUCCUCAUACAUAGAUGUUUAUUACAUACAUCGGUAAGUCUGAAACUGAUAUAGGUAGAUACAAUAGGUCGCACACGUAGAUAAAUGAAUCACCCUAGUCGACGACGGCCACCUAGCCUUUCCCGAGGACCGGAAAGCGUCAAGCGAUUAGGUGGUCGAGUUACACGAAGACCGCGGCCGUACUCCCCUUCGGCUUCAUGUGUCUACGACUCCUGCGCAGGUGAUGGAGAAUGGAAUCCUUGUUGCGAUCCUGAUGCGUAAUUGUAGACGUAUGGUUGUGACUCCUCAGGGAUAAAAGAUGGGCCAAUAAUGUCCCCUCCGAAGAAAUCUGUAACUAAUGCUAUAACCAUGUCGCCAUGAUCAUGUGAUGCUCCCCGUAUGCGCGUGUUUAGGCCAUGUUGGGUGUCCUCAUCGUCACAUGUACGAUCGGGUAUGUCCUGCACAGAGAAACAUUGUAAAUAAACCGUUAGAUGAUAAUAUAUGAUAUCAUUAUAAAUGCAUUAAAAACAUAAACAUGACUACCUGGUCAGAUCCCUCGCCUGUAGUUUGUGGCCAUUGUUUGUCAUAGUGGUUUAUCUCUGGCACACGAGUCUCCUCGGGCAUGGAUAUCCCUCGCGUGGAGAGAUAUGGAUAAGAUCCCUCACCUUGGGUGUAUGCGCCAUAUCGUAUGUACGCAUAUGGGUUCGGGGAAAGAGUUUGCUCGAGCAUCAAAUCCAAGCCCGUGCCAUGGUCCUGGGAUGUCUGCCCAUGACGAAGCUGCACCGAAUAAGAGCGAUGCAGUGGCAGAGAUGAGCCAUGUCAUGGCAAUGUCGUUGUAGUACUCGGACCAUCCCCCACCGCCCAUGGCUCGUAUGCGCCUCGCUUGGUCUGGACGACAGCGCCGCACUCGAUCUGGAUGACCUCGCUACUGGCAUGUUGUACGCUCCAGUGACAAUGUCGUCGCCUCUACGUGGCCACAAAGUUGAGUUGCGGUAGAGGCAACGACGUUGUCACUUGAGCAUACAACAUGCCAAUAGCAAGGUCAGCCAGACCGAGUGCGGCGCCGCCGUCCAGACCGAGCGAGGCGCGUACGAGCCAUGGGCGCGAGGGGAAGGGUCUAAGUACUACAACGACAUUGCCACGACAUGACUCAUCUCUGCUAUUGCAUCGCUCUUCUUCGGUGCAGCUUCGUCAUGGGCAGACAUCUCAGGACCAUGGCACGGGUUUGGAUUCGAUGCCCGAGCAGACUCUUUCCCCGAACCCAUGUGCGUAAGCAGGAUAUGGCGAAUACACCCAAGGUGAGGGAUCUCAGCCGUAUCUCUCCACGCGAGGGAUCUCCAUGCCGGAGGGGACUCGUGUCCUAGAGAUAAACCACUAUGACGAACAAUGGACACACACUACGGGCGAGGGAACUGAUCAGGUAGUCAUGUUUACAUUUUUAAUGCAUUUACAAUGAUAUCAUAUAUUAUCCUCAAACAAUUUAUUUACAAUGUUUCUCUAUGUAGGACAUACAUGAUCGUACAUGGGACGAUGAGGACACCCAACGUGGCCUCAACACACGCAUCCGGGGAGCAUCACAUGAUCAUGGCGACACGGUUGUAGCAUUAGUUACAGACUUCUUCGGAGGGGAUGUUAUUGGCCCAUCUUUUAUCCAUGAGGAGUCACAACCAUACGCCUACAAUUACGCAUUAGGAUCGCAACAAGGAUUCCAGACUCCAGCACCUACGCAGGAGUCGCAGACAUAGGAAGCCAAUGGGGAGUAUGGUUGCGGUCUUCAUGUAACUCGACCACCUAAUCGCUUGACGCUUUCUGGUCCUCGGGAAAGGCCAGGUGGCCAUCAUCGACUAGGGUGAUUCAUCUAUCUACGUGUGCAACCUAUUGUAUCUACCUAUGUCAGUUUUAGACUUUCCGAUGUAUGUAAGAAACAUCUAUGUAUGAGGACCUACCGCUACUGGACCAGGCGACAACAAUGUUUCCCGCGUAUAUCUCCUGCCAUAGUUUCUCGCUUCUGAGUUCCCGCGUUUAUCUCACGCCGCCGUUUCCCGCCUAUAUCUCCCACCAUAGUUUCCCGCCUAUAUCUCCCGCCAUAUUUUCCCGCUUUCUUAGUUCCCGCCAUAGUUUCCCGCUAUCUAGUUCCUGCCAUAUUUUCCCACCUCCGAGUUCCCGCCUCUGUUUGUAUUCUCAACCUAUAAAACACCCUCGGCACUAACUUGGAUAAGCAUUCUAGUGUAGUCUCGUAGUCUUGCCAAAAUGUCCAGAUAUUCUUUUGAUCGUAGUUUUCACCCUCAUAUGUCUCAAUGUCUUCUGGAUUUAGUCGCCGAUUUCAAGGUAGACAACAUAUUUGUUCCAUGGGACAAACUCAUCAAUACUGACACCCUACUGAAUGAGCUGGCUCACGCAUUAAGUAGGUGCGGGUAGCCUUCCAGGAAUUUUGAGGAGAUACAGAAAGAAUUUCUCAGAUUGCAUGGAAGAUGGAUGAAGCAACAGAGUAAGGGUGAAUCAUACCUAAAGUUUGCAGCAGAAAAUAUUUUUUGAUGGAACGCAGACAGUGAUGAUGAAGACAUAUCUUCACGCCGAGUACCAAGGCCAAGAGUUCUGCAUCGUCGAAGGGCAAGAGUUCUGCAUCGACAGAGGAUGACGAUGAUGUCUUCAUGUAGUUUUUAAGCUGUAUUUUUAGUUUUUAAGUUCAGCUCUACCAUUUAAUUCAGAUGUAAUUGCAUUAUUAGUUUGUACUGUCUUAUUGUACGGGCAUUAUGUUUGAUCUUAAUUUGAUGUUGUAGUCGUUGCACCAUGUUUGAUAAUUAGUUUGUAUUGUUAAAGUGUUUUCGAGUGGGGAGAGAAAGAAAGAAGGAAAGAAGGUAAAUAAGACAUUUGGACACGGUACAACUGAAAAUAAGAUACAUUGUACUAUUGAAAUAAUGCUACAUGUAGGACCGUGUAGAGAAAAAUCAUGCGACAGCCCGUUCCCCUCCCGAAACCCGCCAAAGGCGACUCCAUUGGCGAUUUCCUACCCUCCUAUGGAAAUCGUCGAUGGCUUGUCCCUGUAACCCAGAAACCUACGAAAACCAACCUCGAGACCCCUCUAUGCAACCUUCCCCAACCAGAGCACACCCUUUCACCCACCCUCCAGAGUCGUUUUAGGAAAUCUCUGCGGGAGAUCCAGAAACUAAAGCUCCGCCUCCUGUUCCUGAGGUUUCGAGUGAAGAUCGUGAGUGGCAAACUAUUGCCUUCCCCUGAGGAAGGAGACAAGGAGCCACCUAAUCCAGGUCGUGAUCCACCUUCAGAGGCCCUUCCGUUUUCUGAAUUAAAAGUCCAUGAUGAACUGGAGCGUAUAUGGGUUACGUUUCAGUUUGAGGAGAAACUUUCGUUUCCAUCUUCUGGGAGUUAUUUGGAGAAUAAUGAGGGCAUUUACAAGCCCAUGGAAGAUCUGCUAUUUAGGAGGCUGCUGGUGCUGCGCUUUCCAUCAUUCUCCUUGGGAAGCCACACCAGCCUUUGCUCCACGCACUACAGGUGUUCGACCGAUUGCCUGAUGGCGACAUCUAAAGCCCAUCUGAAGAUGACUUCCCUGGUGUCUCCAAGGAUGGUGUCCAAGUCCAUGAGGGAUGCGUCAGGGUCCCUGUUGGCCGCUGGGAGCUCAGCCGCUCAAGACAACGGCGAAGCCAUUCGCCGGCCGGGUAAGGAGCUUGCCCUCUCUACUGCGGAUCCAGUGAAGAAAACCCUGAUCAUUAACAUAUCGGGGGCUCGCGAAGCGGUUCAGACGCGUUUUUCUGGCUGUUGGUCUCUUCUUGUCUGUGCUGAUGGUGAACCCCCGUCAGUUGAUUGACCAUAUGAAAGGGGUCUGGAAGAUCCGUGGGGCAUUGGGCGAUCAUCAGAUAUCGGCAAAGGAAGGAUGUAAAUUCGUCCUAGAAUUCUCAGAAGAUGGUGAUCGACAACAUGUCAUUAGGGGUGGCCCAUGGCAGUACAAGGGAGACCCGUUCUUGGUUGUAGGCUUGGAAUCUGGGGCUGACCCUGCUUCGGUUGUGUUCUCUCAUGUUCCUAUUUGGGUUCAGUUCCGGGGUAUUCCUUUUUACCUCCUUACAAAGGAACUUGCCCGAAAUCUAGGAGAACAGGUUGGGAAGAUGCUGCUGGUUAAUCAGCACGCGAGGGGCAACAUCUGCGACAAAUUUCUGCGUGCGAGAGUGUUGCUCACCUUGUACUCUGCUCUGCCAAAGGAGAUCACCCUGGCCGACGAGAUAACUGGAGAAGAGGUGAUUGUUUUCCUGCGCUAUGAAAGACUUCCAAACUUCUGUUUAUUCUGCGGCUUCUUAGGGCAUAUGGAAGCCAGUUGUGAUCUUCCUAAUGAUGAGAAAAAACUGAGGUAUUCCAAGGACAUCAGUGUGCGUCCAGUGCACUUUGAUGACCCCCGUUCCUGGUUCCUUGCCGAUAAGAUGGGGAAACCAAAGCCCUCGCAGGCUGCUACCUCUCCUUGGCGUGCCCCAAAGCCAAACUGCAACUCUCAAAUCAACACUCCAAGUGUGGAUGUGGUGUUGAAUACGGUUGAGAAAGUGAGUGAAGAUGUUGCUCACCUUUCAGUGGGUGAGCUAAUGGAAACCGAUGCCCCCCGGAAGGGUUCAGACAACAACAUUGAUGUGGGGGAUGGAUCUCCCAGUGAUCCAGUUGGCGCCUCGGCUGUUGUGGGUCUGCUGAACAACAUGGUGGAUGCUUCUCGCACCGCUGAUGCUGCCUUGGUUUCUGCACCUAACCCCGGCAACACAAAGAAGGAGGGAGACAAGGUGCAAAUGCAGACCAAUGUGUUGGUCCAAAUGCAUGGAAAUGAGCAAAAGACAAGAAGACGCCUGAGCCUGAAGAAAUAACUUUACCGGUGGGGCUGGUCCCGGAGCUCCCUCCAAAGACUAGUGCUGGUGGAGGCUCCGUUGACGAUGCCCAACGUGUUGUUGAGGAUCUUGUUAAUCUGCAGGGGGUCGUUAAAGAGAUGGACCAUCCAAACACGGUCAAGAACAUAGUAUAUCUGAGAAAGAGAGGCCAUAAGGGGGACAUGCAUUCUGGUAAAGGAGGAGGCGCCGCUUCUGUUCUCGGCAAGCGGCUGGACAGAGUCAAGGAUCCUCUAUCUGUAGAACCUGAGAGCAAUAGCGAUGAUGUAAUCACAAGUAACAAAAAGCCUAGAGAUGUGGGUUCUGUAGAGGUAGAGCAUUAUAAGGUUGAGAAGGGUGGUCGGGAAGCUGCCGGCCUAGGGGCUGCCAGUAAACUGACGGGCGCGAGUAAUAGCGCCCGUCAAGAGCCAUGAAAAUCUUGGCCUGGAACUGCCGGGGACUGGGGCGGCCCCGGACAGUUCAGGAGCUGACACGCCUUGUGUGUGUUCACUGCCCGGAGAUUGUGUUCCUCUCUGAAACUAGGCAAGGCAAGUAUUUUGUGGAGGGGGUGGGGCGUAGAAUUGGCUUCAGGCACAGUAUCAUUGUCUCUGUGAAAGGGAAGGGGGAGGCCUAGCCCUCUUCUGGGAUGAUUCCGUAGAUGUCGAGUUAAUAAACUUCGGAAUCCAUCAUGUCGAUGUAAAAGUUUCUGUUUCUGGUGAAAUAAAAUGGAGAGGAACCUUUGUUUAUGGUGAGCCCAGGUCCCAGGACCGGCAUUGUAUGUGGGAUCUGUUAAGACGCAUCAAAUCAAACGCUAGUGAACCUUGGCUCAUGAUCGGCGAUUUUAACGAGGCCAUGUGGCAAAGCGAACAUAUCUCUAGAAAAAGGAGUGAACCCCUAAUGAAAGCUUUCAGGGAAGUUUUAUCUGAAUGUAAUCUGCAUGACCUUGGGUUUAAAGGAGUGGGCUGGACGUAUAAUAACAAUCAAUUAGGGGAUAAAAAUGUUCGAGUGCGGUUGGAUAGAGCUGUUGCUUCGCCUGAAUGGCAGGACAUUUUCUCUGAUGCGUGCGUCAAACAUCUUGUGUCGCCGAGAUCUGACCACUGUCCUCUUUUACUCUGCCUAGAGAAGUUGCAAUUUAAGACAAGGAAAAGGAAAAAAGGUCGCUACGAAGUGAUGUGGGAAAGAGAGGAGGCCUUGGCUGGGAUAAUUGAGAAUGCCUGGAACCAUCAUGCCCCUGUCCGAGACCUCAAGCACCUAACUGAGAAGGUGGACUGUAUCAUGGAAGUUCUUAAAGCCUGGAGCAACCAAUCUAUUGGUUCUAUUACAAAAGAAAUAGCCAAAUGUAGAGGGAAACUAGCGGAUCUGUUGAAGGACUAUAACACACAUGAGCAGGAAAUAAAGAUCUUAUCAGCAAAAAUGGAUGAAUUGUUAUUGCGGGAAGAGCUUCUUUACCUUCAAAGGAGUAGAGUUACGUGGCUUCGUGAGGGCGACCAAAACACCAAAUAUUUUUAGCGAAGGGCCUCUUGACGUGCCAGAAAGAACAGGAUCAAAAAACUUUGGAAGGCUAAUGGGCAGUUCACAAACAAUGAAGAAGAAAUCAAAGCGAUUGCAAAGGGGUUUUUCUGUGAUCUGUUUACAGAAGACUCAAAUGUGAAGCCUGCGGGCUUGCUGAAUCAUUUUGAGACCUUGGUUACAAAUGAGAUGAAUGAAAAAUUAAUGGAAGAGUUUACUGUGAAAGAGAUCAGCGACGCCCUAUUUCAGAUUGGGCCGCUAAAAUCCCCGGGGCCGGACGGUUUCCCCUCGCGUUUUUACCAGCAAAACUGGGAUGUUCUAAAAGAAGAGGUGGUCGGAGCUAUAAAGCAAUUCUUUACGGAUGGUGUCAUGCCGAGUGAGUUGAAUACUACUACUAUUGUUCUCAUCCCCAAGACUAACCAAGCGGUGGAGUUAAAAGAUUUUCGGCCAAUCUCUUUAUGCAAUGUUAUUUACAAAGUGGUGUCGAAGUGCUUAGUGAACCGCUUGAGACCGCUCCUGGACGACCUUAUUGGCAUUGAGCAAAGCGCUUUCAUCCCAGGAAGGCUCAUUAGUGACAACACUCUUAUCGCGUUUGAAUGCUUCCAUGCCAUCCAAAAGGGGAGGAACUCAAGUGACUCGUUCUGCGCUUUCAAGAUGGACCUCUCAAAAGCUUAUGACCGUGUGGACUGGAAGUAAUUAAAGGGUGUGCUCACUAAGUUGGGGUUCAACCCUAGAUGGGUGAGUUGGGUCAUGGCGUGUGUUACUUCUGUCCGAUAUGCCAUAAGUGUGAAUGGGGAGCUUUCUGAGGAGUUCUUCCCUUCUAGAGGUUUACGCCAGGGCAAUCCUCUUUCUCCCUACAUGUUCCUCUUUGUCGUUGAUGGUCUGUCCAGAUUACUAAAGAAUGUGGUAAACAAGGGCGAACUAAGAGAGCUAAAGAUUGCUCGUUCUGCCCCUGGGAUAUCUCACUUACUUUUUGCUGAUGAUAUUACCCUGUUUUUUGAAGCUAAUGGUCAGCAAGCUUCAGUGGUAAAUAAGGCGAUUCAGGUGUUUGUUAGGAGCACUGGCCAACUGGUUAGCCAUGAGAAAUGUUCCCUCCUGUUCAAUUCUGAGUGCCCAGCUUCUAGGAUGGAAGAAGUGAAGGAGGUUCUAAGUGUCCAAAAUUGUACUUUCGAGGAGAAAUACCUGGGGCUACCCACACCGGAAGGGCGUAUGAAGGCUGAGAAGUUUCAGCCUAUCAACGACAGGUUCAACAAAAGGCUAUCUGACUGGAAUGAAAGAUAUAUGGCCAUGGCUGCAAAAGAGGUUCUCAUCAAAUCCGUUGCUCAAGCGCUUCCCACUUACACGAUGAGUGUGUUUAAGAUGCCGAUGAGUUUCCAUGAUGAUUAUAUGAAACUUAUGAGGCGUUUCUUCUGGGGGGAGGAGCAAGGACAGAGGAGGGUUCAUUGGGCCUCUUGGGAAUGCUUGAUCAAACCAAAAUCUCAGGGAGGAAUCAGUUUCCGCGACACUGUUUGUUUCAACCAGGCUCUCUUAGCGCGACAGGCUUGGAGAUUAAUCCAGUCGCCAGAGAGUUUAUGUGCUCGACUCUUCAAAGCAAGGUACUACCCUAACGGCAAUGUCCUUGAUACAGUGUUUUCUGGUGAAGCAUCUCAAGCGUGGAGGGGAAUCGAAUUUGCUUUGGAGCUUUUGAGGAAAGGAGUAAUCUGGAGGAUUGGGAAUGGUAAUUGUAUCCGUAUUUGGAGGGACAAUUGGAUUCCUACAGAACCGUCCCUAAAAAUUCUUGGCAGUAGGAAACGGUCUAGGAUUCACAGAGUGUGUGAUCUCUUCUUACCUGAGAGAAAGGAAUGGAAUGAGGAGUUGGUGAGACAGGUGUUUUAGCCAAAUGAUGUGGAGGUGAUCUUAAAGAUAAAGAUUCCGAUACAUGAGAUGGAGGAUACUCCAGCAUGGCACUAUGAAACGUCCGGGCAUUUCUCUGUCCGUAGUGCGUACAAGCUUGCAUAUAAUUUGAAGCACUAUAAUAACAACCUAACCGGAAGUAGCGCUGCUCCAAAGGGGGACAGGAAUAUGUGAAAGUUGGUGUGGAAUGCUGAUAUCCCAAACAAGGUCCGGUCCUUUGGUUGGAGGUUGGCCUGUGAUAAUCUUGCUACAAAGCAGAAUAAAUGCAAAAGGAAUCUGGAGAUUGAUAGUACGUGCAAUAUUUGUGGUAUGGCAGACGAGAACAGUUUUCAUGCUGUGGUGGAAUGUACCAAAGCCCAUGCCUUAAGAGAUCAGUUGCGAGGGGUGUGGGAUCUUCCUGGGGAAAGGGUUUUUAUUUACAAUGGGCCUGACUGGCUUCUAAUCCUCCUUGCAAAAAUCAAACCAAGGCAGCGUGAUUUGGUGCUUCUUGUGUUCUGGCGUGCUUGGUUCCUCCGAAAUGAUGUGGUCCACAACCAAGGGAAGAUCUCCAUUUUAGACUCGGUUAGAUUCCUGCAAAACUUUUCUGUUUCUUUUUGGGGUGAAUGCCUCGCUACUGAUGAUAAAGGAAAGAAGCCGGUUGUUGCGCCUUCUCCGCAGAAGUGUCAUAGGUCGGUGUUGACCAAACCUGGUCCAAGCCAUGCUGGUAUGUCUAGUUGGACUAGACCUCCUGUGGGAUGGCUGAAAGUAAACACAGAUGUUGUGUUUGUGGCCAUUUCGGGUGAAUCUAGUGCUGGGUACAUUAUAAGAGACUUCAUGGGCAGACUUGUUAGAGCAGAGGGCGUAAAACUCCAUCCCUGUGCAAGUGCUGAAGAGGCUGAAGUUUGUGCGUGUGUCACUGGGCUGAAGGCUGCUCUUGACUUGGGAAAUGAUAAGAUCAUCAUAGAAUCUGAUUGUGCUGCAGUUAUUUUGAACAUUCUGUCCCCUGCAACCCCUCUUGCAGCUUGGAGAGAGCAUCAUAUUGUGAUUAGGGAUCUUAUUCAAGAUAGUUCAAACAUUGUCUUUCGAAAGAUUGGGAGAGAUGGCAACAAAGUUGCUCAUGAGUUAGCCAGACUAACCCAGAGCAGUGGUAGGGGGCUGUCCAUAUGGGCCAACUACCACUAGUUUUGGCGUUGCUGGUGCAAUCUGAUUGUAAUGACUGUGAUGAUAUUUUAAUAUAAUUGCAAUCUUUCCCCUCAAAAAAAAAAGAAAUAAUGCUACAUGUAACUAAUGAAAUAAAGCUACAUUAAACUACCGAAAUUAAGAUACAAAUGGUUGCAAAAUUUAAAAUACUACCACAAGUAUCUACUGAGUCUAGCGUGGAUAUUUUUCUUUUCCAUCGCCAGCUUCUUCUGCUGCCUUGGCCUCACGAAAUGAUGGCGAGAAAAUAGGCACGAACAAAAAAAAUUAGGUGGGAAAUACGCAUGAUUCAAAACAGUGCUACCAGUGUCGGCAUAGUGUGCCUCGGUGUUCUCGCGUCGGUCGCAGCAACCGAUGAAUACAACUUUAGGCGGGAAUCACGCACUGCUUUUGAUCGGUGUUGUCUGCAUAGAAAGCAGUGGCAAUUAUCAAACAACGGGCAGCAUCAUAGCGGAAUCACUGCCAAAAACGAUUCCCGCCGAGCAGCAUGCGAACCAGACGGAGUGGAGUGGAGAGUGUAUGCAGGGAAGCAAAGAGAGUGCAGAGAAGCACCACAGAGUGUCGGCACGAGACGUCAAAAAUUCACCUACCGCACAGCAUCGGAUUCCCUCCCGUGGAAAUCAGCGUCAUCCGCGUGUGGGAAUCAUCGCCGUCUUCCACACCGAAGUUGUCGCGCCGCGAGCAGCAGCAACAGCACGGAUGCCUCGAGGAGUGGUAGCGUGGCCCACCUCCUCGUCGCGCAUGCAGCAAGUGCUGUUGGCUAGCGCGCAGCAACAGCAGUGUCAUCCGCCUCGUCGAGUGGAGGCAGGGCCCACAUGCCCGGCCCCGUUCCGUCCCGGCACCGGCGCGCUGGAAAUUACGUAAUAGAUGGUCGGCUGCCUCAACGCAUGGCGGCCGGUCCCGCCGCCUCCGAGCAUGGCAGCAGGAGCCACGCGUCGAUCGCCGCGCCUGCCGCCACCGUUGAGGGGGUCUUUUUUGUCAAUUUGAUCUGUAGGUAGUCAUUUUGUCAAUUGUGUUGGCGAGAGGGUCCUUUUCAACAAAAAAUCCCGAAGCAACAACAGAUGCUGUCGGCUGGUAAGCAUCACAAACAAUGCGGCCGCCUCAUGGAGUGGUGGCAUGGCCCACCGCCUCGUCGGGCAUGCAUAUGUCGUGUCGGCAACCGGGCGACAGCAGCAGUACAGGCUGCCUUGUACCGUGGCGGCAGGGCUCACCUGUCCGACCCCGUUACGUCCCAACACGGAAACAUGUUAUACGAUGUUGGUCGCCUCAAUGUGUGGCGGCAGGGCCCGCAAUUUUAUCCAUGGACAUGGAUACCUGCGGAUACCUGACCCGAAUGGGUAGGGUUUGAGUACAUUUUUACGUCCAUGGGCAGAACCCAAACCCGACCCGAUUAAUCAUGGGUAGGGCAUGGAUAUAAUUAUGUAUCCAUGGAUAUACCCGAACCCGACCCGAUAGUAUGACAUGCGUGGCAAAAUUCGAUGAUCCCCACUAUCCCAUCUUUCAAUGUAUUUUUCCUUUAUAAAAAGUAAAAAAGAAACUAUGCGAUCCCUCCCCAGUUCCCAUCGUAACUUUUGUGCCUCUUCUCAUUCUUCUAUAUCCUCGGUAAAUGACUCGCAAUUAAGCGUCAUCUCCAUCACCUCGACUUCCUCCUCCCGCAGACCUAGAUGCCGCUAGACUUUACCUCUCUACAUAUGGUGGUACAUGUGCUUGCUUGACAUUGUGUUAUGCCAUUUUAUGAGAAAUCGAGAUCGAGAAAUGAUGUUGUGUUAUUGCUAUGUCAUUCUACAAGGACAGAGAAUUGUGUACUUAGGUUUAUUUGAUGUUAUGUCAUUAUGAGAAUCGGAGAGCUUUGUUGGUGAUGUUCACUUGUCCUAUGUCAUUUUGUGAGAAUUUAAGAGCUUAUUUGAUGUUAUGCACUUGUGCUUUGUCAUUUUGUGAGAAUUUGAGAGCUUAUGUGAAUGUUGUGCUACUUCUUAUGUAUAUGUGUUGCGACAACCCGAUGGUUAUCCAUACCCGAUGGAUAUUCGUCGGGUUUGGACAUGGACAUAAUUUUUCGCCCAUGGAUUUUUUGUGUGGAUGGGCACAUAAUGUCUUCAUGGAUUUGGGUAUGGAUAUGAUAUUGUUCAACCCGAGCCGAACCCGAUCCAUUGCCAUCCUUAGCGGCAGGUGUCACGUGUCGCCUGUCGCGCUUGCCGCCAUGACCGGGGGUCUCUUUUGUCAAUUUCAUCUAUAGGUAGUCCUUUUUGACAAUUGUGUUGGGCACCUGGUCCUUUUCGACAAAAAAAUCAUUUGAUCGAAAGAUCCAGGUUGGAAAAGGCACAUUUCUUUGACAAGCACAAGUAAUGGAAGGAACCAAAGGUGCAGAUUAGGAGGACAGCGUUACAAGGUAGAAGCACAUGCCAUGGAAAUAUUGCUACUGGUUGUAAAGUCCACAUAUCAGUAUGUGAUGUCGAUGAAUGAUGUUGUAUCUUGUUCCUUUGUACGUCUAAUUUUAUGAUGGUGAAUUGAUGGAUGUUGACUAUUGGACAAGUGAUGCCAUUUAUUUUAGAUUGUUAAUUCCUAAUGAAUAAUGCGAAAUUUUGUCUCGGAUAAAAGUGACUUUACCUUCCAAUUUGGUGAUCAAGGACUCCCUUAUACUUAUGGAACGUAUUAUCACUAUAUUGUCAAAAUAGAUGGGUGCAACAACGCCGCCAUCAUUAAUCUAUAUUUACAUUUCAAAUAAUUAGUAACCGAAUAUUUUAUUAUUAGCUGAUUAAAACUUUAAAUAUAAUAAAAGGGAAGACCAUUUUUAUAUCCAUAUUUACAUUUGAAAUAACUAGCACAUAUGCCCGUGCGUUGCAACAGGGGAAAAUAAUAUGCAUUUAAAGCUAAUUAGAAUUAUAUGUGCAAGUAAAACUCUGUGUGCACGUGAAAAAGAAACAUUUAGCUUCUCGGUUUCGCUAGGUUUGAAGUGACCAAUCUGUGAUUUUUUUUACAUUCAUUGAUCGCAUUUAAGAGUUUUGUUACGUCAACGUACGCCAGAGAAGACCCAUGAAUUAUUCAAUCUAAUUUUCCUUUCAAUUGAGGAGAUUUUAAGGUAUGAAGUUUUUGAAUAUUUUAGAAAACAUGAACCAUAUUUAAAAUCCUAAAGAUGCUCUUGAAAACCAUGUACACUUUCAGAAAAAAUGCGAACAAUAUUUGAAACAGAAACAUCUUUAAAAAUUCACAAACAUUUUUUAAAAACACCAAUAUUUAAAAAUUCAAAAACAUUUUUAGAAAACACCAAAUUUUAUUAUAAAAACAUGGAAAUUAUUUGAAUUUGUGAUUUUUUUUAAAAUAUGAACAUUUGAUGACAAUUCAUAAUAUUUUUCGAAAAUGUGUAUCUUUUAUACGCGAACAUUAUUUUGAAUUGUGAAAAAUUCACUAAACCAAGAUUAUUUUUUGAAUUUGGAAUAUUUUUAAAAUACCAUUUUUCUUUAGAAAUCUCGAACAAUUUUGCAAAACAGUAAUUCUUUUCAAAAAAUAGGAAACAUUUUAGAAAUCUCAAACAAUUUUAUAAAACAGUAAUUUAUUUUUGGAAAAAUGGGAAACUUUUUUCAAGUUCCAAAUAUUUUUUCAAAAUAGCAACAGAAUUUUGGAAUUCUGAACAUUUUCCAAAUUUUGAUUUUUUUUUGCUUUUGUAAUAUCACUCGGUUCGACUCUAAACAUAAUAAUACGAUCAUAACACUUUAAUAAGAUACGAUUAAAACUUUUAGUAUAUUUUGAUUUUAAUAACAUUUUCAUAUCAUCCAAUAAAAAUAGUUUAUUACAACUAAUGAAAUGAGAAUACAUUUUAAUAACAUAUUUUCAUUAGAAAACAGUCGACUUUUUUUAGUAUCAUUUGGUUGGACCUUAAACAUAAUAGUAUGAUGAUAACAUUUAAAUAUCAUAUGACUAAACAAAUAACCGUAUUUUUGCUAGAAAUAUUUGCACCAGCAGUAACAUCAUUCACAAUAGUAAAUCAAUAUAAAAAAUAUAUACAAAAUUACACAGUCUCAUUUAUACCUCAGCUUCAAUUUGGAUGUUGUUCCGAAUAAAAUUAAGCGCCACAAUAGUUCAAAAAAAAUCCGUCAGCAUGAACAUAUCACCAGUAAUAUAUCAAUGGAGAUCAACCUAUUAUCACAUGAACAUAAAUAUUAGACACGGAUUUUUUUUGCUAUCAAAAGCAUCAAAAUGGCACUUUGCAUGUAUGUGAUCAUCACCUCAAAAGGGACAUCAAAGAUCGAAACACAAUUUUUUCAAUCACACCAUCUCCUCAUUGUUUGCUACUCAGAUGAUAUUUUUUACCUAAUUACAUACAUCAUUAAGGAUAUUAGCAUCUAAUCUUAAUAUACAAAACUUAGAUUAUUGCGACAUAAAAAAAUAGACCUACGGUUUCCUGACUAUAAAAAUUAUUAAUAAACAUACCACAUGAAAUAGCAUCACAUUUAAUCAUGCAAUGACCAAUUACAGUACAAACUUUUUCUUAAUUAGCAUAUUAAGAACUUUUCGCAUGUCAAACUACAUUAAUGCAUUUGAAAGGCCUAACGUGAUCUACAAUACUGUCAAAUAUUUGUUGUCCAAGUUUUGGCUCUAACCCAACCUAAACGUUCAACAGAAGUACUAAUUACGACUUAAUGACAAAAGUAACAACAUCUUGCUUGUCAAAAAAAUUACUAGUAAUGGAUACAGCUAACAUUGAUCUACAACAUCUUCAACUUACUCAUGUGAAAAGAAUGGCUAUAAAUGCAACAUACGUUACUCCACAAAAAAAUGCAACAUACGUCAUUUGAAAACUUUUCUAACUUCUAAGCAGUAAACAUCACAUAGAUAAUGAUGGGCUAAAAGACUAACUAAUUUCCACCGUGCAUGCACAAGCAAAUCCAUGUAUCGCAAAGCUUGUACCUUGAUCUUCAACUUCGUAGUUCACUUCGCACGGCAAAUCCUACUCCAUAAGCUUCAAAUGACUCCACAAAGUGAUGAAAUCAUGCCUAAAACAACAGAGAAUACAUACUUAGAAACUAAUCAAACAGAACAAAAACAUCAUGCAUGUGAACGAAACCAACAAAAAUGAAUAGAUCUUACCUUGAUCUAUCUUUUCUUCAACUAAUACUUCUUCUGAAUCGGCCUUCAAAUCGCUCAAAAUCAUGAUCAAAUAAGCUAUUUGAGCUGUUUUUCUCAGUGUGCUAGGGAAAGUAAAGAGCAGAGACGAGAGGAGUGAGCGGGCGGCU
rnacentral:lncRNA from 1 species